CGGCAGCGCCUUUGUGGGGACACGUCGAGUCGGCACCAGCGCCGCCCGCGCCGCGCCGGGCCGGGCCGGGGCUCCCCGCCGCCCCCAUGAGCCGCCUGUAGGGUCCGCGCCGCCGCACCCCUGUGCCCCAGGGGCUCGGGGUUGGUUGUUUUUGGGUUCCCCCCCCCCCUUUUUUUUUUUCUUACAAUCUAUUUUUGUACACUUUGCUAUAAAACCAUGGUGCUGGGGAAGGUGAAGAGUCUGACGAUAAGCUUUGACUGUCUGAAUGACAGCAACGUCCCUGUGUACUCUAGCGGGGAUACAGUCUCAGGAAGGGUCAGUCUAGAAGUAACUGGGGAAAUUAGAGUGAAAUCCCUUAAAAUCCAUGCGAGGGGACACGCUAAAGUACGUUGGACUGAAUCGAGGAAUGCUGGAUCCAACACUGCCUAUACACAGAACUACACCGAAGAAGUGGAAUAUUUCAACCAUAAAGACAUCCUGAUCGGCCAUGAGAGAGACGAUGACAAUUCAGAAGAAGGCCUUCACACCAUCCAUUCAGGAAGGCAUGAAUAUGCAUUCAGCUUCGAGCUUCCACAGACACCACUUGCUACCUCAUUCGAAGGCAGACAUGGCAGUGUGCGCUAUUGGGUGAAAGCCGAAUUGCAUAGGCCUUGGUUUCUACCAGUAAAAUUAAAGAAGGAAUUUACAGUCUUUGAACAUAUAGAUAUCAACACUCCUUCAUUACUGUCACCCCAAGCAGGCACAAAAGAAAAAACUCUCUGUUGUUGGUUUUGUACCUCAGGCCCAAUAUCCUUAAGUGCCAAAAUUGAAAGGAAGGGCUACACCCCAGGUGAAUCAAUUCAGAUCUUUGCUGAGAUUGAGAACUGCUCUUCCCGUGUGGUGGUGCCAAAGGCAGCCAUUUACCAAACACAGGCAUUUUAUGCCAAAGGGAAAAUGAAGGAAGUCAAACAGCUUGUUGCCAGCCUUCGUGGGGAUUCCUUGUCAUCUGGCAAAACAGAAACCUGGAAUGGCAAACAGUUGAAAAUUCCACCUGUUUCUCCUUCAAUCCUUGACUGUAGUAUAAUCCGUGUGGAGUAUUCACUGAUGGUAUAUGUGGAUAUUCCUGGCGCCAUGGAUUUAUUCCUUAACUUACCACUGGUCAUUGGCACCAUUCCUCUACACCCAUUUGGUAGCAGAACUUCAAGUGUAAGCAGCCAGUGUAGCAUGAACAUGAAUUGGCUUGGUCUGACACUGCCCGAAAGACCAGAAGAACUUGUUGUUCGAACUGCGUGUGCCUUUUCCCUGCAGCACCUCCCAGCUAUGCAGAAGUGGUUACGGAGGAACAACGGCAGUCCAGCCUUGCACCCUUAGGUGUUUGUGAUGACUUUGAGAGAGCGCUUCCAGGACCACUGUUUGCAUACAUCCAGGAAUUUCGUUUUCUUCCUCCACCCCUCUAUUCAGAAAUUGAUCCGAACCCAGAUCAUCCCACAGACGACAGACCAUCUUGCCCUUCUCGUUGAAAGAAUCCGUAAGAAGCUGACUUGACUUGGGUUUGGAAUCAUACCUGUUGUGUUGAAGGUCAAGGCAUCAUAGUGGAAGACACACUUUCAAAGAAAGUGGGUUUGCUCUUGCCUGUGUGGUGAAUAAAUGAAAACAACCUGUGAUCAUGCUUUGAAGCCUACAGUAACAUUGUAGGACUGCUCCACAUUCUUGAAGAACUGAGCUUUCCCCCCUCCUUCUUAAAUACUGGCACAUACUAGGAGCAGCCUUACUAACCUACAGUCAUGUGUGUCCAAACACCCAAACCACAUUAAGAGAGGUUUGGCUUCCUCUUACAAUUUGGAAAUUUGCACAUGCUUAUUGCUUACAUUGUGCGGUUCAGUGUCACUACAGCUUUUCCUCAUUUACGCCGGACAGUUGCUACCCCUUUCUUAUGUCUUGUGGUCCGCACAAUAAGGAGCAAAAGAAAGCUUUGACAAAAAUAAACAAACAAACAAACAACCCAACAGCAACAGACUUCGACAAAUGCACUGACUUUUCUUCUUUUUUUAAUUUAAUGUAGCCUGGACUUUACCUGCAUAUGCACAUGCUCAGAAUUGUCCUAGCAGGCUGAUCAUGUAUCACCUCUUCAGCUUGGAUCCUACUGUGGAUUUAUUUUACAAACAUCAAAUGCCUUCAAGCCAAUCCUACUUGCUGUAUGUUUUGCAGCCUACUGUAGUAGAUAAGCAACAGAUAUGGGGAUAGGGUGGGAGGGUGAAGAGUUAAUAGAAAGAAACUAAUAGACUUUGUCAAGAUUGUAUACUUUCUUGAUUUUUUUUAAGAAUUUGUUGCCUUUCUACUAUUAUUGCAACGCAGCAUUUUGUUACAGACUGCCUAAAAAUCACUUAAUCUCAGGUGAACUUAUCACUUGCCAAACUGUUGGAAUGCUAUUUGGUUUUUUAUGUUGCACUGUUGAAUUAGUUCUUUUUUUGUGUUUGUGUUUUGUUUUUUGUUCUUUAUUUGAGAGGGAGAUCUGGAAUAAGGACAUACACAAAAGUUAUGAAAUCCUCCUCAUUCCCAUUUCUAUUUCUGCAUUAUAAAAAAAGAUGUUCAAGUUGUGAAGCUCUUAAAAAAAAAGGCACAAAUGAAAGCA